UACGUAGGGUCCGAGCGUUUGUCCGGAAUUAUUGGGCGUAAAGGGCUCGUAGGCGGUCUGUUGCGUCGGGAGUGAAAACUUACAGCUUAACUGUGAGCGUGCUUUCGAUACGGGCAGACUUGAGGCAUUCAGGGGAGAACGGAAUUCCUGGUGUAGCGGUGAAAUGCGCAGAUAUCAGGAGGAACACCGGUGGCGAAGGCAGGUCUCUGGGCCGCAACUGACGCUGAGGAGCGAAAGCAUGGGGAGCGAACAGG
rnacentral:rRNA from 1 species